rnacentral:rRNA from 1 species
UACAGAGGUCUCAAGCGUUGUUCGGAUUCAUUGGGCGUAAAGAGCGUGUAGGCGGUCCGGUAAGUCGGCUGUGAAAGUCCAGGGCUCAACCCUGGGAUGCCGGUCGAUACUGCCGGACUAGAGUUCGGAAGAGGCGAGUGGAAUUCCCGGUGUAGUGGUGAAAUGCGUAGAUAUCGGGAGGAACACCAGUGGCGAAGGCGACUACCUGGCCUGUUCUUGACGCUGAGGCGCGAAAGCUAGGGGAGCAAACGGG